rnacentral:tRNA from 1 species
CUCCUCGGUAGCUCAGUCGGUAGAGCAGGUGACUGUUAAUCACUUGGUCGGGGGUUCAAGUCCCUCCCGAGGAGCCAG